rnacentral:misc_RNA from 1 species
GUUUUAAUAAAUAAUAACUUGAAUAUUUUAAAGCUGGACUACAAGUGUAGAUCCAACUGGAUAAUUGCAACAUUUAUUUAUCUCUUUUUUUUUGCUCUUUGGUUUUCAGUGUUCUUUCUACAUUGUAUGGAUAUAGUUGUAAUAAUACAAGAUAUUGGAUAGAUUUGAAAAAUAUAUGCGAAGUUCAGGAUCUUUUUUGAACCUUAACCAAAAUAAAUUGAUAAAAAGUAACUCAAAUGCAAUAUGAGCAAAAGCAAAAAUAUUUUAGUUCUCAUACAUAUAAAAUGUCAAGUUGGCAAUCAUUUCGGCAGGAAAAUUCAUUUUUAAUGCCAGAAUGGUACAAACCCGUCAACCUUUGGAUAAAGUUUAUAUUAAUUUGAAAUUAUAUGGACCAAAUUGAUAAAAUUAAAAGAAUUUGAUUCAAAUGAAAAUCGAAAACAAGUUAGGAUAUCUGAGAUCAUCGGACCUGUUAUUAAUAGACCAGGCCCAUAAAGAAAUACUUAAUAGGGUGAUGGCAAUUGUCUCAGCCAGCCAACUGUUGUGCGCAUUUAUUAUUUGCCUGUACAUAUGAAAGUUUUGAAAAUGCUUUUCAUCAGCACUGCAUAAAAUGCAAUUGUAAAGUAAUAUUUGUCUCUUCUUCAUUUUUG